rnacentral:rRNA from 1 species
GGGUUAGUAAGUUGGUCAUGCCUUCGGUAUGUACUGGCUUUACUGAUUCCUCCUUCUUGACGAACCGUGAUGUCAUUAAUUUGGUGUUGCGGGAAAUCAGGACUGUUACUUUGAAAAAAUUAGAGUGUUUAAAGCAGGCUAACGCUUGAAUACAUUAGCAUGGAAUAAUGAAAUAGGACGUUAAUCCUAUUUUGUUGGUUUCUAGGAUCGACGUA